AGGACGAACGCUGGCGGCGUGCUUAACACAUGCAAGUCGAACGGUGACCCGGAGCUUGCUCCGGUGAUCAGUGGCGAACGGGUGAGUAACACGUGGGCAACCUGCCCUUGGCUCUGGGAUAACUCCGAGAAAUCGGGGCUAAUACCGGAUAUGAAGUCGGAAGGCAUCUUCUGACUUGGAAAGUUUUUCGGCCAAGGAUGGGCCCGCGGCCUAUCAGCUUGUUGGUGGGGUAAUGGCCUACCAAGGCGACGACGGGUAGCCGGCCUGAGAGGGCGACCGGCCACACUGGGACUGAGACACGGCCCAGACUCCUACGGGAGGCAGCAGUGGGGAAUAUUGCACAAUGGGCGAAAGCCUGAUGCAGCGACGCCGCGUGAGGGAUGACGGCCUCGGGUUGUAAACCUCUUUCAGCAGGGACGAAGCGAAAGUGACGGUACCUGCAGAAGAAGCACCGGCCAACUACGUGCCAGCAGCCGCGGUAA
rnacentral:rRNA from 1 species